rnacentral:rRNA from 1 species
UACGUAGGGCGCAAGCGUUGUCCGGAAUUAUUGGGCGUAAAGAGCUCGUAGGCGGUUUGUCGCGUCUGCUGUGAAAACCUAAGGCUCAACCUUGGGCUUGCAGUGGGUACGGGCAGACUAGAGUGCGGUAGGGGUGACUGGAAUUCCUGGUGUAGCGGUGGAAUGCGGUAGAUAUCAAAGAGGAACACCUGGAGGUGAAGACGGGUUGCUGGGCUGACACGUGACGCUGAGGCGCGAAAGCCAGGGGAGCAAACGGG